UUGGAGCAGAGAUCUCUGCAACAAUCCUUGAACGUUGUUUCUUGAAGUUAGAAGCUCCAGUAAGCAGAGUUUGUGGUCUGGAUACUCCGUUUCCACUUGUGUUUGAGCCAUUCUACAUGCCCACCAAGAACAA